ensembl:lncRNA
UGAAGCACAGUAGGAAUGCAGAUGCUACACACAGAAAUUUAGAUGAGUGUCGAGUUAUGAAGUAGAAAAACUACUAAUAUCUAUGCUGAGAAAUGGACCACAAGGAGCUACAACUCUGCAAUACAGAGCAAGGCAAUCCUGGAGGAACAGACAUGGCAAAGAAGAUAACCAGAAGAAAUGAAAGCAAUUGAAUCGAUUACCAGACAGUUGUUGCUAGAAUAGAAGAGGCAAAAUACAAGAUAUUUUCAUAUAUGAAUAAAGAUGAAGAAAAGGAGUGUCUCUUAAAGAAAGAAGACAAUAAGAUAAAAGGAGUAAUGUGAA